rnacentral:rRNA from 1 species
GAUGAACGCUCGCUACAGGCUUAACACAUGCAAGUCGAGGGGAAACGGCAUUGAGUGCUUGCACUCUUUGGACGUCGACCGGCGCACGGGUGGGUAACGCGUAUCCAACCUUCCCAUUACUGUGGGAUAACCUGCCGAAAGGCAGACUAAUACCGCAUAGUCUUCGAUGACGGCAUCAGAUUUGAAGUAAAGAUUUAUCGGUAAUGGAUGGGGAUGCGUCUGAUUAGCUUGUUGGCGGGGUAACGGCCCACCAAGGCUACGAUCAGUAGGGGUUCUGAGAGGAAGGUCCCCCACAUUGGAACUGAGACACGGUCCAAACUCCUACGGGAGGCAGCAGUGAGGAAUAUUGGUCAAUGGACGGAAGUCUGAACCAGCCAAGUAGCGUGCAGGAUGACGGCCCUAUGGGUUGUAAACUGCUUUUGUAUGGGGAUAAAGUUAGGGACGGGUCCCUAUUUGCAGGUACCAUACGAAUAAGGACCGGCUAAUUCCGUG